AACGAACGCUGGCGGCAGGCCUAACACAUGCAAGUCGAACGCCCUAGCAAUAGGGAGUGGCAGACGGGUGAGUAACGCGUGGGAACCUUCCCAGUGGUACGGAAUAACUCAGGGAAACUUGAGCUAAUACCGUAUACGCCCGAAAGGGGAAAGAUUUAUCGCCAUUGGAUGGGCCCGCGUCGGAUUAGCUAGUUGGUGGGGUAACGGCCCACCAAGGCUACGAUCCGUAGCUGGUCUGAGAGGAUGAUCAGCCACACUGGAACUGAGACACGGCCCAGACUCCUACGGGAGGUAGCAGUGGGGAAUAUUUGACAAUGGGGGAACGCCUGAUCCAGCCAUGCCGCGUGAGUGACGAAGGCCUUAGGGUUGUAAAGCUCUUUCGGCGGGGAAGAUAAUGACGGUACCCGCAGAAGGAGCCCCGGCUAACUCUGUGCCAGCAGCCGCAGUAAUAC
rnacentral:rRNA from 1 species